GCGGAUGUGGCGAAACAGGCAUACGCACAGGACUUAAAAUCCUGUGACCCGAAAGGGUCGUGCGGGUUCGACCCCCGCCAUCCGCACCA
rnacentral:tRNA from 1 species